GCAUCGAUAGCUCAGUGGCAGAGCGGUGGGGCGUUUACCCAUGCGGCCCGGGUUCGAUCCCCGGUUGACAUG